UAAGAGGUCCAGCCUGCCCUGUGACUUUUAACGUUUAACGGCCGCGGUAUUUUGACCGUGCGAAGGUAGCGCAAUCACUUGUCUCUUAAAUGGGGACCUGUAUGAAUGGCACAACGAGGGUUUAACUGUCUCCUUUCCCAAGUUAAUGAAAUUGAUCUCCCCGUGCAGAAGCGGGGAUAUAAACAUAAGACGAGAAGACCCUAUGGAGCUUUAGGCAACAAGCAGAUCGUACCAAACAACCCUCAUAAAGGAAUUAAACAUGCGCAAACCUGCUCUAAUGCCUUUGGUUGGGGCGACCGCGGGGAAACAAAAAACCCCCAUGUGGAACGGGACUAGCCGUCCCCCAAAAAAGAGCCCCCGCUCUAAAAAACAGAACAUCUGACCUUGAGAUCCGGCAAAGCCGAUCAACGAACCGAGUUACCCUAGGGAUAACAGCGCAAUCCUCUUCCAGAGCCCAUAUCGACAAGGGGGUUUACGACCUCGAUGUUGGAUCAGGAUAUCCUAAUGGUGUAGCAGCUAUUAAGGGUUCGUU
rnacentral:rRNA from 1 species